rnacentral:rRNA from 1 species
GAUGAACGCUGGCGGCGUGCUUAACACAUGCAAGUCGAACGAUGAAGCCCAGCUUGCUGGGUGGAUUAGUGGCGAACGGGUGAGUAACACGUGAGUAACCUGCCCUUGACUCUGGGAUAAGCCUGGGAAACUGGGUCUAAUACUGGAUAUGACUUCUCAUCGCAUGGUGGGGGGUGGAAAGAUUUAUUGGUCUUGGAUGGACUCGCGGCCUAUCAGCUUGUUUGUGAGGUAAUGGCUCACCAAGGCGACGACGGGUAGCCGGCCUGAGAGGGUGACCGGCCACAAGGGGACUAAGACACGGACCAGACUCCUACGGGAGGCAGCAGUGGGGAAUAUUGCACAAUGGGCGCAAGCCUGAUGCAGCGACGCCGCGUGAGGGAUGACGGCCUUCGGGUUGUAAACCUCUUUCGGUAGAGAAGAAGCGAGAGUGACGGUACCUGCAGAAGAAGCGCCGGCUAACUACGUG